ACAAGCAGCGGAGCGUGUGGUUUAAUUCGAUGUUACACGAAGAACCUUACCAGGGUUUGACAUGCAAGUGGUAGGAAACCGAAAGGUGACCGACCCUUCGGGGAGCUUGCACAGGUGCUGCAUGGCUGUCGUCAGCUCGUGUCGUGAGAUGUUGGGUUAAGUCCCGUAACGAGCGCAACCCUUGUCAUUAGUUGCUACAUUCAGUUGGGCACUCUAAUGAGACUGCCGGUGACAAACCGGAGGAAGGUGGGGAUGACGUCAAGUCCUCAUGGCCCUUAUGGGUAGGGCUUCACACGUCAUACAAUGGUCGGUACAGAGGGUUGCCAACCCGCGAGGGGGAGCUAAUCCCACAAAGCCGAUCGUAGUCCGGAUCGCAGUCUGCAACUCGACUGCGUGAAGUCGGAAUCGCUAGUAAUCGUGGAUCGGCAUGUCACGGUGAAUACGUUCCCGGGUCUU
rnacentral:rRNA from 1 species